AGAGUUUGAUCCUGGCUCAGAUUGAACGCUGGCGGAAUGCUUUACACAUGCAAGUCGAACGGCAGCACGGACUUCGGUCUGGUGGGGAGUGGCGAACGGGUGAGUAAUAUAUCGGAACGUGCCCAGUCGUGGGGGAUAACGUAGUGAAAAUUACGCUAAUACCGCAUACGAUCUAUGGAUGAAAGCGGGGGAUCGCAAGACCUCGCGCGAUUGGAGCGGCCGAUAUCAGAUUAGGUAGUUGGUGAGGUAAAGGCUCACCAAGCCGACGAUCUGUAGCUGGUCUGAGAGGACGACCAGCCACACUGGAACUGAGACACGGUCCAGACUCCUACGGGAGGCAGCAGUGGGGAAUUUUGGACAAUGGACGCAAGUCUGAUCCAGCCAUUCCGCGUGCAGGACGAAGGCCUUCGGGUUGUAAACUGCUUUUGUACAGAACGAAAAGGUCUCUAUUAAUACUAGGGGCUCAUGACGGUACUGUAAGAAUAAGCACCGGCUAACUACGUGCCAGCAGCCGCGGUAAUACGUAGGGUGCAAGCGUUAAUCGGAAUUACUGGGCGUAAAGCGUGCGCAGGCGGUUAUAUAAGACAGAUGUGAAAUCCCCGGGCUCAACCUGGGAACUGCAUUUGUGACUGUAUAGCUGGAGUGCGGCAGAGGGGGAUGGAAUUCCGCGUGUAGCAGUGAAAUGCGUAGAUAUGCGGAGGAACACCGAUGGCGAAGGCAAUCCCCUGGGCCUGCACUGACGCUCAUGCACGAAAGCGUGGGGAGCAAACAAGAUUAGAUACCCUGGUAGUCCACGCCCUAAACGAUGUCAACUGGUUGUUGGGUCUUCACUGACUCAGUAACGAAGCUAACGCGUGAAGUUGACCGCCUGGGGAGUACGGCCGCAAGGUUG
rnacentral:rRNA from 1 species